rnacentral:rRNA from 1 species
GACGAACGCUGGCGGCGUGCUUAACACAUGCAAGUCGAGCGGUAAGGCCCUUCGGGGUACACGAGCGGCGAACGGGUGAGUAACACGUGGGUGACCUGCCCUCCACUUCGGGAUAAGCCUGGGAAACUGGGUCUAAUACCGGAUAGGACCAUUGGAUGCAUGUCUGGUGGUGGAAAGUUUUUCGGUGGGGGAAGGGCCCGCGGUCUAUCAGCUUGUUGGUGGGGUGAUGGCCUACCAAGGCGACGACGGAUAGCCGGCCUGAGAGGGUGAUCGGCCACACUGGGACUGAGACACGGCCCAGACUCCUACGGGAGGCAGCAGUGGGGAAUCUUGCGCAAUGGGCGGAAGCCUGACGCAGCAACGCCGCGUGAGGGAUGACGGCCUUCGGGUUGUAAACCUCUUUCGCGAUCGACGAAGGCCCAUCUUUUUGGUGGGUUGACGGUAGGUCGAGAAGAAGCACCGGCCAACUACGUGCCAGCCGCCGCAGUAAAAC